rnacentral:rRNA from 1 species
CUAACUACGUGCCAGCAGCCGCGGUAAUACGUAGGUUGCAAGCGUUGUCCGGAUUUAUUGGGCGUAAAGCGAGCGCAGGCGGUUUCUUAAGUCAGAGGUGAAAGGCUACGGCUCAACCGUAGUAAGCCUUUGAAACUGGGAAACUUGAGUGCAGGAGAGGAGAGUGGAAUUCCUAGUGUAGCGGUGAAAUGCGUAGAUAUUAGGAGGAACACCAGUUGCGAAGGCGGCUCUCUGGACUGUAACUGACACUGAGGCACGAAAGCGUGGGGAGCA